UGGGGAAUAUUGGACAAUGGGCGCAAGCCUGAUCCAGCCAUGCCGCGUGUGUGAAGAAGGCCUUUUGGUUGUAAAGCACUUUAAGCGAGGAGGAGGCUACUUGGAUUAAUACUCUAGGAUAGUGGACGUUACUCGCAGAAUCAGCACCGGCUAACUCUGUGCCAGCAGCCGCGGUAAUACAGAGGGUGCGAGCGUUAAUCGGAUUUACUGGGCGUAAAGCGUGCGUAGGCGGCUUCUUAAGUCGGAUGUGAAAUCCCUGAGCUUAACUUAGGAAUUGCAUUAGAUACGGGGAAGCUAGAGUAUGGGAGAGGAGGGUAGAAUUCCAGGGGGAGCGGUGAAAUGCGUAGAGAUCUGGAGGAAUACAGAUGGAGAAGGCAGCCAUCUGGCCUAAUACUGACGGUGAGGUACGAAAGCAUGGGGAGCAAACAGG
rnacentral:rRNA from 1 species